CCAGAGAAGGGAGACCAUGAAUGCCAGAAUAGCUUUCUCCUUCAUACUUAAAAAAGAGCUUGAGAGAAGAGUUAACUAUUGAUGGUGCCUUUGGAGCACCAUCCAUGAACCCAAACGAUAUAGAUAGAAAAGGAGUACAGAAGAAUAAGAAAAGCUCUCUAUCUUUUUAAACUUCAAUGGAGUACGGGAAGAUCGAUCAUUCUUUCGUGCAAAAGAUACAACCCACACCC
rnacentral:lncRNA from 1 species